UGGUUUUUGGGUGUCAUAACCUGCUAGUCUUCCCUCCCAAACUAUCCCAUAUAGGUGGUCUUUUAUAGGCAUUGGAUGAGUUAGACUUUGGAUAGAAUUCAAGAGUCCAAGUAGCCUUGGACUCUUCCUAUUUUGUGCCACCCACACCAAGUAUUUUUGCGUAUGUUUACACGAUAGAAAAGGGAUGAAAUCCCUUUUAUCUUACACGU
rnacentral:lncRNA from 1 species